rnacentral:rRNA from 1 species
AGCAGCCGCGGUAAUUCCAGCUCCAAUAGCGUAUAUUAAAGUUGUUGCAGUUAAAAAGCUCGUAGUUGAAUUUCGGGGUUAGUAGGUUGGUCAUCCUCUGGUAUGUACUGGUCUCACUGAUUCCUUCUUCCUGAUGAAUCUUAAUGCCAUUAAUUUGGUGUUUUGGGGAAUUUGGACUGUUACUUCGAAAAAAUUAGAGUGUUUAAAGCAAGCUAACGCUUGAAUACAUUAGCAUGGAAUAAUGAAAUAGGACGUUCGAUCCUAUUUUGUUGGUUUCUGGGAUUGACGUAAUGAUUAAUAGGGAUAGUUGGGGGCAUUAGUAUUCAAUUGUCAGAGGUGAAAUUCUUGGAUUUAUUGAAGACUAACUACUGCGAAAGCAUUUGCCAAGGAUGUUUUCAUUAAUCAAGAACGAAAGUUAGGGGAUCGAAGACGAUCAGAUACCGUCGUAGUCUUAACCAUAAACUAUGCCGACUAGGGAUCGGAUGAUGUUAAUUUUUUAAUGACUCA